AGGCCUAUAAGUUAAUGGAUAGACUCCUCGGCUUCGGACCGAGAAAUCAGGGUUCGAUUCCCUGUAGGCCUG
rnacentral:tRNA from 1 species